GGAGCGGACAUGACGUCUUCCGGGAGGCGGCGGGGUCUUUGUCUCGCUGCAGCGGGUGCUGCAGGUCUGGCCUUCACUUUUCUGCGUCCUCUUACUCCUAGAGGCCCAGCCUCUGUGGCGCUGUGAUCUGGUUAUUGGGAGAUUCACAGCUAAGACGCCAGGAUCCCCCGGAAGCCUAGAAAUGGGACCACUGACAUUUAUGGAUGUGGCCAUAGAGUUCUCUUUGGAGGAGUGGCAGUGCCUGGACACUGCACAGCGGAAUGUAUAUAGGCAUGUGAUGUUAGAGAACUACAGAAACCUGGUUUUCUUGGUGUUUUCCAAGCAGUGAAGCACUUGCCGUGUUGAACUGAAUGCACUACUGGAGAAUGUUCUGGGUCCAAGAUGCUCUUGAGAGAAGACUAGGCUUUUCAAAUCAAACACUCAAAGGAAUCAUGCAACCCUCUUAUGACUGGGAUGCCGUCAUGUGCCACUGACCAAUGCUAUCUCUCCAGAAAACCAUUCAAGACUCUUAAAAAAUCAGACUUAUAAUAAAUAUACAUAAAAUGAAGACACCAACUGCUCUUUGACAUGACUACGAUAAUGUCUGUGCUAUGUGGAAGCACAUUUAAAAAGAGCCUAUUCGGCAAAAGGUAAGUGUCUAAAGAUUCAAAAUGUAUCAACAGUAUUGGAUAACAAUAUAAUUCUCAACUCAGAAGCUGCCUCAAGAUUAGGUGCAUCUUCAGUUAAUGUGACAGGAAAAAAAGGCAUGGAUUUUAUUUUAUUAAUUGUAUCCACUUACAAACUGACCUAAGGUCACCUGAUAUGUAGAUACAGUGAGAUUUUUGUUGCUUAUAGUCUUUAAUUGAAGCGAUGAUAAAGGAAAUAGAUCUAUUUAAAAACAAAACCAAACAGCUAUUUCUGCUUAGAUUAAGAGGUGGCCCCGGGUGUGGGAUUCACAUUUUGAGUGGCCACUUGUGGUGCAAUCUCGAUGAUCAGGGGUUUGUCUAUGAUUCUGGCUGUGUGGUUGCCCUUCUCUACAAUCCCAAUAAUCCAUGCUUGGUGGUCUUCACCAUAUUUGGGGGACUUUAUCUCUGCACAGAACCGAGCUGUUUGCUCACAUGGUAAACAGAUCAGAAGCCCGCCUGUCCUGUUGAGCCUCGCCAUGUUCAUCAUCACCUCCUCGUAGGCCAGCUCUACAUCUUCUUGGGUGACCACUAGUUUAAUAUUAUUCCAUUUCUUAGGAAUAUCCAGCCACUGAUGCACAGCCACUGCCCCCUGUGUCCCCAGGGGUUUUGUCAACACCAGCACAUCCCCUGGUACUGCAUUGUCUGGCAUGAUAAAUUCACUGGGCUGACAGACAGUGGUAGUGACUCUUCCCAGGACAAUCCAGGGGUUUAGUACUGUUUGGCCGCCCAUUACAGACGUUUCUGCCUCCUCAGCUGCGUCUUUAAAACCUUGGAUAAUCAGAGGCAUCACUUUAUCCAUUUCCCUGUUGGUCAUUUUAUUACUGACUCCAAGGAGCAUCAGCAUAUUGUCACAUUCUGUGACCCCCAUUGCGUAGAGGUCACUGAGGACAUUGGCACAUGCUAUCCUGCCUGUCACGUAAGAGUCGUCUACAAUUGGGUAAAUGUAAUCUGUAGUUUGAACCAAGGAAAGCCCACCGUGUCUCAAAGGAAUGACAAGUAUCCAUUCCAAUGCCAAGCCUUGGCAUAAAGGCUCCCAGAAACUGCUCAUCUUCUUGGAAGUGGUUCUGUAAAGAUUCCAGCAAUUUUUGCAGGACAUCUUGGGGCACUUUGUAGCCUGUGCCCUUCAGUUCAGUGAAUCUGGUUAGCCGGAAGCUUUUGUCCAAUUCGUAACUUUCCGGGUUAAAGGACUCCCAUGUAGAUAUGGUUGUUGGGCCCCACUCUCCUCACAGCUCAGCCCCUCCCUUCCCUCUGCGAGUUGGCUGGGUUCUUUAUGGAUCCACCGGCUCGCUUUGCGCCCCGAGUUAAACUUUUUUCUAUAUAUAUGAGAUCAUGUAGUAUUUGUCUUUCUAUGUCAGGAUUAUUCCAUCUAGUAUGCUGUCUUCUAAAUUUAUCUAUAUUGAUUCAAAUGAUGAAACUUACCACCUUUGAAGGCUGAAUAGUAUUCCAUUGUGUAUCUAUACAACAUUUAUUUUAAAAAAUUAAAUAUAUUGAUUGAAAAACUCAUGUGUUAUAAAAGGGCAUUCCCGUCUUAAAGCACAUACUAGUGUACUUCAGCAUAUACAUAUCAUAUUAAUCGUUAAUUUGUACUGAGCAUUAACCAUAAUACUUUAAUGUGUUAAUAAAUUUAAUUCUCACAGUAACUGAAUAA
rnacentral:lncRNA from 1 species